rnacentral:rRNA from 1 species
AAAUUGAAGAGUUUGAUCAUGGCUCAGAUUGAACGCUGGCGGCAGGCCUAACACAUGCAAGUCGAACGGUAACAGAAAGCAGCUUGCUGCUUUGCUGACGAGUGGCGGACGGGUGAGUAAUGUCUGGGAAACUGCCUGAUGGAGGGGGAUAACUACUGGAAACGGUAGCUAAUACCGCAUAACGUCGCAAGACCAAAGAGGGGGACCUUAGGGCCUCUUGCCAUCGGAUGUGCCCAGAUGGGAUUAGCUAGUAGGUGGGGUAACGGCUCACCUAGGCGACGAUCCCUAGCUGGUCUGAGAGGAUGA